GCGGGAUUAGUUAAGCGGUCUAACGUGACCUUCCCAAGGUUAAGACACGGGUUCAACUCCCGUAUCCCGCUCCU
rnacentral:tRNA from 5 species